rnacentral:rRNA from 1 species
AGUGAACGCUGGCGGUAGGCCUAACACAUGCAAGUCGAACGGCAGCACAGUAAGAGCUUGCUCUUACGGGUGGCGAGUGGCGGACGGGUGAGGAAUACAUCGGAAUCUACUUUUUCGUGGGGGAUAACGUAGGGAAACUUACGCUAAUACCGCAUACGACCUACGGGUGAAAGCAAGGGAUCUUCGGACCUUUCGCGAUUGAAUGAGCCGAUGUCGGAUUAGCUAGUUGGCGGGGUAAAGGCCCACCAAGGCGACGAUCCGUAGCCGGUCUGAGAGGAUGAUCAGCCACACUGGAACUGAGACACGGUCCAGACUCCUACGGGAGGCAGCAGUGGGGAAUAUUGGACAAUGGGCGCAGGCCUGAUCCAGCCAUACCGCGUGAGUGAAGAAGGCCUUCGGGUUGUAAAGCCCUGUUGUUGGGAAAGAAAAGCAGCAGGUUAAUACCCCGCUGUUCUGACGGUACCCAAAGAAUAAGCACCGGCUAACUUCGUG